UGAUGGGGGGGGCNCAAGCGGUCGAGCAUGUGGUUCAAUUUGAUGCAGUUCGAAGAACCUUACCUNCUCUUGACAUCCACAGAAGCCAGCGGAGAGGCAGGUGUGAUUCGAGAACUGUAAGACAGGUGCUGCAUGGCUGUCNUCAGCUCGUGUUGUGAAAUGUUAGGAUAAGUCCCUCGACGAGCGCCAACCUUAUCCUUCUUUGCCAGCGCUUCCGGCGCGACCUCCACGGAGAAUGCCGGUGAUCAGGCGGAGUCCGUUGGGGAUUCAGUCUAGUCAUCAGUUGCCAAGGGAGAAGGGCUACGCCCUUUUUACUAUUGCGCAAACAGAGGAAAGGCGGAUGUCGAAAAAGACGGAUUACCAAGAAGUGCGUAGUAUUUUCCCAGGCAGUCUGCAGCUAGACUCCAUGCAGUGGGAAGUAAUAGUACUCGUGGAUCAGAAAACCACGGUGAAUAGAUUCCCGGCCAUCUACACCCCGCCCGUCACUACAUGGGAAAUGGCCCAAAAGAAGUGGGUAGUUUAACCUUCNGGAGGAGGAUCNCCUCUUUGUGGCUUGUUACGGCUUCGCCUUCGNCAGGANNAAACCG
rnacentral:rRNA from 1 species